GAUGAAGAACGUAGCGAAAUGCGAUAAGUAGUGUGAAUUGCAGAAUUCAGUGAAUCAUCGAAUCUUUGAACGCACAUUGCGCCCCUUGGUAUUCCAUGGGGCAUGCCUGUUCGAGCGUCAUUUGUACCUUCAAGCUUUGCUUGGUGUUGGGUGUUUGUCUCGCCUUUGCGUGUAGACUCGCCUUAAAAUAAUUGGCAGCCGGCGUAUUGAUUUCGGAGCGCAGUACAUCUCGCGCUUUGCACUCAUAACGACAGCGUCCAAAAGUACAUUUUACACUCUUGACCUCGGAUCAGGUAGGGAUACCCGCUGAACUUAAGCAUAUCAAUAAGGGAGGA
rnacentral:misc_RNA from 1 species